ACAUGGAGUGAUCUCGCUGUGUUUUUUUGCAAUCAUACCACUUAAAAAGAUCUGAUUAUGAUGAAUCCAGUCUAAGAGCAAAUUAACCAAACAUAGACCCACUGAUUAGUUUGGGGGUUUUGGGUGGGAUUUGGGGGGAGAGAAGGGAAGCUUCUCAGUCAAGAGCAAUUCCUUAAAACCAUGGGCAAAAUUCCCUUUUCUACUACUAGUUUUUUUUUUUUUUUUCUUUUUAAUGACAAAGUCACACAAGGGAGGAAAUGAAAAGGGAAAUUUUUAGACUUCUCAUCUGUUCAGAAAGCCCCAACUCUGUUUCAGAACCUGUCAGGGUAACUGUCAUGCCUGCGGUCCACGCUGCACUCCCAGGAGGCCUUGCGUCGGAGGCCAUUAUAUCAAUAAGGAAGUAUGAUCACCAAACCGCAAGCGAGCUUUUUUUUUCAAGCCCACAUGUUGCUCUACAGGGUUUUAAAACAAGAGACUUUCCUGUUUUUGAAACUUGUGAAUCCACAGGACUUCCAGGUUUCUCAAAUUAUCUUAUCCCUUGCAGCAAACACGGAUGUGAGUGGAUCUAA
rnacentral:lncRNA from 1 species